CAGCAGUCGCCGCGGUAAUACGUAGGGCGCAAGCGUUGUCCGGAAUUAUUGGGCGUAAAGAGCUCGUAGGCGGUCUGUCGCGUCUGGUGUGAAAUCCCGAGGCUCAACCUCGGGCUUGCAUCGGGUACGGGCAGACUAGAGUGCGGUAGGGGAGACUGGAAUUCCUGGUGUAGCGGUGGAAUGCGCAGAUAUCAGGAGGAACACCGAUGGCGAAGGCAGGUCUCUGGGCCGCAACUGACGCUGAGGAGCGAAAGCAUGGGGAGCGAACAGGAUUAGAUACCCCAGUAGUCCCUGUCUCUUAUAC
rnacentral:rRNA from 1 species